rnacentral:rRNA from 1 species
GACGAACGCUGGCGGCGUGCCUAAUACAUGCAAGUAGAACGCUGAAGGAGGAGCUUGCUCUUCUGGAUGAGUUGCGCACGGGUGAGUAACGCGUAGGUAUCCUGCCUCGUAGCGGGGGGUAAAUAUUGGGAACGCUGGCUAAUACCGCAUAAAAUUAGAUGUUGCAUGUCAUUUGCUUAAAAAGUGCAAUUGCAUCACUACCAAUUGGUCCUGCGUUGUAUUAGCUAGUUGGUGGGGUAACGGCUCACCAAGGGGACGAUACAUAGUCGGCCUGAGAAGGGGGACGGCCACACUGGGACUGGGACAAGGCCCAGACCCCUACGGGAGGCAGCAGGAGGGAAUCUUCGGGAAUGGACGGAAGGCUGACCGAGCAACGGCGCGUGGGGGGAGAAGGGUUUCGGAUCGGAAAGCUCUGGUUUAAGGGAAGAAAGAGAGUGAGAGUGGAAAGUGCACGCUUUGACGGUAUCUAACCAGAAAGCGACGGCUAACUACGUG